rnacentral:lncRNA from 1 species
AUCUAACAAUGAUGAACACCUGAAAAUAAAAAGAAAAAUUCACCUUUAGUAUUCAAAAGCCUCUUUUUUUAUUUUUCCUCCCCCUUUUACAGUAUUCAUAUUGGCUUUUUAUAGCCGGAAUUACAGAAAAAAUCAAAAUAAAAUGCCUCCAAAAUCCAAUCUGUUAUCCCCCUUUUCUCGUAUUUUUGUUGCCUUUUUCUGUUGUUGCUGUUUGUUUGCAGAUUUGGAGGCCAGCUUGGAGCAACGGACGGAGGUGCACACGCGUGUGAAGGCGCAACUCGCGCGGAGGAAACUCUGGCCGCUGCGGCGCUAGGGG